AUUGAACGCUGGCGGCAGGCCUAACACAUGCAAGUCGAGCGGAUGAGGAAAGCUUGCUUUUCGAUUCAGCGGCGGACGGGUGAGUAAUGCCUAGGAAUCUGCCUGUUAGUGGGGGAUAACUCGGGGAAACUCGGGCUAAUACCGCAUACGUCCUACGGGAGAAAGUGGGGGAUCUUCGGACCUCACGCUAACAGAUGAACCUAGGUCGGAUUAGCUAGUAGGUGAGGUAAUGGCUCACCUAGGCGACGAUCCGUAACUGGUCUGAGAGGAUGAUCAGUCACACUGGAACUGAGACACGGUCCAGACUCCUACGGGAGGCGGCAGUGGGGAAUAUUGGACAAUAGGCGAAAGCCUGAUCCAGCCAUGCCGCGUGUGUGAAGAAGGUCUUCGGAUUGUAAAGCACUUUAAGUUGGGAGGAAGGGUAUUCACCUAAUACGUGGGUACUUUGACGUUACCAACAGAAUAAGCACCGGCUAACUCUGUGCCAGCAGCCGCCGUAAAAC
rnacentral:rRNA from 1 species